GAGUCGCGAACGGGUGAGUAACGCGUAGGUAACCUGCCUAUUAGCGGGGGAUAACUAUUGGAAACGAUAGCUAAUACCGCAUAAUAUUAAUUAUUGCAUGAUAAUUGAUUGAAAGAUGCAAGCGCAUCACUAGUAGAUGGACCUGCGUUGUAUUAGCUAGUUGGUAAGGUAAGAGCUUACCAAGGCGACGAUACAUAGCCGACCUGAGAGGGUGAUCGGCCACACUGGGACUGAGACACGGCCCAGACUCC
rnacentral:rRNA from 1 species